CACAUGAUACUUAUUAGAGAGACAAGUAGGAGGGGAAGAGAGGGAAAGAGAGAGGCGGAAGUUCCACGGCCCAUCAAAGCGGCACUGGCCUUCCGUUACCCUUCCCCGUGCUUUCUCUCUCUUCUCCCAUCACCGGAGAAGGACGCGAGUGAUUGAGAAGAAUUCCAGAGAGAAAAGGAGAUAGAUGUGGGUAUUUUUUUCCUCCAAUAUCGCUUCCGCUGGUUCUGGGCAUGGCGGUGGCAAUCCUGCGGUUCUUCGCGGGGCCGGACAUCCUCUUCGGCGUCAGAUGCGCCUGGUUCUGCUCCCUCUCCAUCAUCAUCCUCGUCCCCGCCGACAUCUGGACCAUCGGGAUGUCGAUGUUUUAUUCAUUAACUCCAAGAACAAGAAGCUCAGUUAGCUUGCUUAUGAUAUGCUGCUAAGUUUCUAUGCAAGUUCUAUUCCUGUUUAACUAUGUGAAAUGAUUUUAGACUAAUUAUUGCAUGUUGAUCUUAUAGUUCUGCGAGAACGGUUGCACGCUAUGCACCACCUUUUCUUAUAGUUUUCUUAACCUCAUUCAUCUUGAAGGUAAUGCCAAAACAAUUUGUGCAAAGGUAACUGUUCAUCGUACUAUUUUCCUUUUUUUCUUUUCUUUUUUCCCACUUGUCUUUUUGUUUCAAUUUAAUGAUGUUCAUGAGAAGCGAGCCUGAAAUAUUAAGAGAUUAAAAGCAUUUGUUUCCAAUCAGCAAAGGACAACAAAAAUGUGGUACCUAAUUUGAGGCAAGAUAUUCGGUGCAUUGGCUCAAGAUGAACUUUAAAGCAAUCUUUAAAGAUCCCAAGACUUCAUCCAAUUUGAUUGAACAAUUCAUGCCUAAUGGGGGAAGAUUGUUAACUACCAUAUACGUUUCUUAUAUUUUUUUUUUGUAUAAGGUUCUAGAUUGUGAAUCGCCAUUUGGUGAAGACAAUAAAGGAAUUCGAAUUAUAUAGAUAUAAUGUUAUUUGUUCCAUAUAUAUAUAUGGAAUGCCAUAUUAUAAUGACGAGGUAUAUCAACUAUUUUUCGAAACUGUUUUGCAAAAAAAUAGGUUAUAUUGAUGAUGCCAUCUCUUUUUUUUGUUAAAGUUUUAACAAACUACCCCAUUAUUGUGGUUAUCUACACUUUGUUUUCUGCAAGAAAUUUCUUUUGGCAAGUAACAGUUUUUUAUUUUUUCUGAAAGCUGAAAAAAGUUCUAGUUCGAAAUAGGAGGAACAUAUGCACAACAAUCCAGAUCUCAUACAAAAAGGCCAGCCAAAAGGUAUUAUUUGUUUUUCUUAGCCUUGUAUAAGUUUCUAAAAUUUUUCCAGCAUAUAACUAAUAUGGAACUAAAUAUAUACCCGCUCGAAUUUUCACAUACUCCUCCUAUUUAAGCCUUGAUGUCGUUGCUAUGUUAAAGUUCUAAAUCCAAUCAACUCCAAUCGUGAACACCACAAUUAGCCUGUGUUGAGCCCUAUAUAGGCCCAUACUGCAGUAUUUUCAAAUCGACAUGGGCCACCAGCUGAGUCCACUUUGUUAUCAUUUAUAAUAAUCUAAGAUCUUAUCCAAAAAGGCAAGCUGGAAGAUAUUAUUAGCAUUUUUUGGCCUUGUAUAAAUAUGCAAGGUUUUCUUAGCACAUAAUUGAUACGGAGCCAGACAAACACCUACACGGAUUCUCACAAUAUGAAUGGAUUUGAUCCAUUGGGAACAAUUAUCGUGCAGAAAUGUGAGUGUGAUUUUUUUCCGUCUUUUGUGAUUCUUUAAUUCUGUCCCUCUUUAUGCCUUCUUGCAUCGACAGACAUAUCCAUAUGCAAAAAUUUUAGCUGUGGAGCCUCUUGAUUGAACCUGUCAAGAGCAUGCCUUUGCAUAAUUCUAGCCUCAGUCUGGGUUCAGGCCUUAUUUCUAGCUGAUGUAAAGCCUUGGAGCUCACUCAUAUGUGGUGGUCUUAUUGGUCCUUGCUACACCUUUAUGUUUUUUUAUAAACUUUGCUCAUUAAACUGGUAUUAACUAUUUUUAGACCAUUUCACAUAUGGAUUAUCUUCAUUAAACAGAUUGUAAUUAUCAUUGACACUAUGCUUGGUCACCUCUCUAAUGGCAAGUAUUGCAAUUUGUUAAUUAAGCAGCCGACAGGUUUAAGUUUUACUUGGUUUUAUUGUCAAAACCUUCGCUGACCUGGUCCUUAGAAGACCUCCGUAGUGUUAUGAGCACUAGGGAGAUUGUCAGGUUCCAUUUUCUCUCAUGCAGUUUCUUAUGUGAUUAUGGCCCUCUCUGUUUACAGAGUGGCCUUGGCUUCAACGAGGGUGUAAAGUUGGCGAGCAAGUCGUAGCAUUGGCAAGAAUUAUCAAUGAUACAGAUAUGGAUCUUGAAUCUGGUGUCUCACUAGUAUGUUACCUUCCAAGUUGUAUUAUGUUAGUUGCCAGAAGCACCAUCCAUUUUCGUAAUGAUAGGAAAAGAGAAGGAAAUGUUUGGUUGAGGGGGUGGGGGGGAAUAAUUUUACUGCUCAUCUUACAGUUUGCAUGUGUUCUAGAAUUCUACAUUUAUGUUUGUCCAGACUUUAGAAGUAGCACUUCCAUGUCAGAUUUCUUCGUAAGUAAUGAUCUUUUUUUCUUGCUGGGCAAGAAAAAUUACAGCGACCAUCCUAGUAAAAUUUUCUGCUUGAGAAAUCAGAGAAGCUGCAUCUAUUGAACAGCUCACAUGGCUUCUGCCCAAUUCGAGGAUUGUAUUUUGCCUUUAUGCAUUGUAUAUGUUUUAUUACUUCAACCUCAUUCAUUUCAUUUCUGGCCAUUAAGCUCGGAUAUUUGGCAUUCAGAGUAAGGGCAUGUGAAGAUGAAAAGAAGUCCAUCAAAAGCUCUGAAAGAGGAGAAACAGAAAUAUGGUAGCAGCAGAGAAGCCAUUGCCAACAAGUAUGCAACUAACAAGGAACAACAAGGCAGGAGGUAUCUCAGAGGAUCAUUCAAUUGGCAGCAUGGCUGCCUUCUCCUCAGGGAUGGCCUUGACAUGGGCAUCAAUGAAGACUGGAUUUCAAAAUUUUAGGGCCAACAUAUGGGCAAGGAAAUUUCUUCUGCUGGGUAAGGUUCAGGAAACUACACAUUAUACUCGAGUUUCCUCCUUUUGAGUCACUUGAUAAAGUUUUUCAGACUCUGAAGCAGCAUCCAACUAGGGACCAUAACAAUGAAUAUGGUUAUGGUUGUGGUGAUGAUGAUAUGAAUCAUGUCGUGAAUUUCAUAAGCGCAUUCAGAUAUAUAGUAUGGGCCGGGCACGCUCAUAAUAGGAAGCCAAAUUCAAAUCUGGUUUUACCAUAUCGGUAUUUUGUUUCAUGAAAACAUAAUGGAAGUUGUGCAGAACUACAGACUAUUCAAAAAAGCUAACAACUCGUCACUUUUUCCCUCCAAGGAAUUUGGGUUAGCAUAGGAGAUUGAUGAUACCAAUACCCAUAUUGCUGUAUUUGUUAUAGGGGCUGAGUACAUAACUCAGACAGCAGUGAAUAUACCUUUGUUCAUUUGGUUUCAUCUCCUUUAUAUGGAAUCAGAGAAUUAAUGAAGUGCUGCUUGGUUUGACAAAAGAAUAAAUAAAACUUUUCUUCUUGAAA